AGUUUGAUCCUGGCUCAGGAUGAACGCUAGCUACAGGCUUAACACAUGCAAGUCGAGGGGAAACGACAUCGAAAGCUUGCUUUUGAUGGGCGUCGACCGGCGCACGGGUGAGUAACGCGUAUCCAACCUGCCCACCACUUGGGGAUAACCUUGCGAAAGUAAGACUAAUACCCAAUGAUAUCUCUAGAAGACAUCUGAAAGAGAUUAAAGAUUUAUCGGUGAUGGAUGGGGAUGCGUCUGAUUAGCUUGUUGGCGGGGUAACGGCCCACCAAGGCAACGAUCAGUAGGGGUUCUGAGAGGAAGGUCCCCCACAUUGGAACUGAGACACGGUCCAAACUCCUACGGGAGGCAGCAGUGAGGAAUAUUGGUCAAUGGACGAGAGUCUGAACCAGCCAAGUAGCGUGCAGGAUGACGGCCCUAUGGGUUGUAAACUGCUUUUAUAAGGGAAUAAAGUGAGUCUCGUGAGACUUUUUGCAUGUACCUUAUGAAUAAGGACCGGCUAAUUCCGUGCCAGCAGCCGCGGUAAUACGGAAGGUCCGGGCGUUAUCCGGAUUUAUUGGGUUUAAAGGGAGCGUAGGCCGGAGAUUAAGCGUGUUGUGAAAUGUAGACGCUCAACGUCUGCACUGCAGCGCGAACUGGUUUCCUUGAGUACGCACAAAGUGGGCGGAAUUCGUGGUGUAGCGGUGAAAUGCUUAGAUAUCACGAAGAACUCCGAUUGCGAAGGCAGCUCACUGGAGCGCAACUGACGCUGAAGCUCGAAAGUGCGGGUAUCGAACAGGAUUAGAUACCCUGGUAGUCCGCACGGUAAACGAUGGAUGCUCGCUGUUGGUCUGAAUAGGUCAGCCGCCAAGCGAAAGCAUUAAGCAUCCCACCUGGGGAGUACGCCGGCAACGGUGAAACUCAA
rnacentral:rRNA from 1 species